CAUGGUAAGAGGAAAAGGCUACCAAUAUGUAUUUGUCAAUCAGUUGAUUUCUCCGAUGAUGGAUCCAUGUCCUACCUACUCGAUAUGGCUUGUUACCCCUGCCACCUCCUCAAGGCAAAACAUCCUGGUCUGAACGUACACAGAUUGUAAAUGUCGGAAGUGGUUUUAGCAGAACACGGAUUAUUCUGAUAAUACAAGGCACAGAUAAUAAGAUUUUCAGGGCCCAAUCCUGCAAGCCUUCCAGGCACAGAACUCUCACUGAAAUGGAGUUCCAAAUUGAGGCGUUUUAUAGGAUUUGAGCCUGAAUGCUACAGAAGAAUGUAAUCCCUCUGGAGCAGGGUUUGUAUCCUUUGUACAGUGCACAGUUCAAUGAAGCCCCACACCCAAAUAAGGCCUUUGGAUGAAAAAGGCAAGAUUAGCAUGGAUAUUGCAUUUUCAAGGACCUCGCCACUAUUAAAUAGACUGUUAAGUGCAUUUUAUGGCUGAAGAGUCUGUUCCCAGUUCAGUCUCAAAGAUGUGCUAAGUUCAUCUCUACCUGCUACAUUGAACAUUCACUGACUAAAAUACUUUCUGUGGAUGUAAUACCUAUGAUCUGUAUCUUUUAAGUGCAUAACGCUAAAUGUUUUAGGACUAGUAAAACGUAACUCAA